rnacentral:misc_RNA from 1 species
CUGAGUUGUCGACACGAGCUGUUGCUGGUCCUCACAUGUGGGGGGCACGUGCACGCUCUGUUCACACAUCCACUCACCCCUGUGCACCCUCUGUAGUUCUGUGGUCUGGGAGACACCUCGUCUUCCUCUCUGUGGUUCUGCAUCUUUACACAUACACCUUAGUGAAGUCUUAUGGAAUGUGCAUCGCGUUUAACGCAAUACAAUA